GUCUACGGCCACGCCCCCCUGAACAAGCCUGAUGUCUGAUCUUGGAAGCUAAGAAGCUAAGCAGGGUCGGGCCUGGUUAGUACUUGAAUGGAAGACCACCUAGGAAGACCAGUGCUGUAGGCA
ensembl:rRNA 5S_rRNA 5S ribosomal RNA